rnacentral:rRNA from 1 species
UACGAAGGGGGCUAGCGUUGCUCGGAUUUACUGGGCGUAAAGGGCGCGUAGGCGGACAGUUAAGUUGGGGGUGAAAGCCCGGGGCUCAACCUCGGAAUUGCCUUCAAUACUGGCUGCCUUGAGUGUGAGAGAGGUGUGUGGAAUUCCAGGUGUAGCGGUGAAAUGCGUAGAUAUCUGGAGGAACACCGGUGGCGAAGGCGGCAUCCUGGACCGGUAUUGACGCUGAGGCGCGAAAGCCAGGGGAGCAAACGGG